rfam:Oryza brachyantha chromosome 3, whole genome shotgun sequence.
AAUAACCUUAUUUCUCGUUUUUCCAUGCCUAACGUUUGACCAUUCGUCUUAUUUGAAAAAUUUAUAUAAAAAUUUUAAAAAAUUAGUCACGUAUAAAGUAUUAUUCAUAUUUUAUCAUCUAGUAACAAUAAAAAUAUUAACCGCAAAAAAUUUCAAAUAAUUUCAAAUAAGACGAAUGGUAAAACGUUGGGCACAGAAAA